CUGUUACAAAAGUGGGGAGUAGGAGAAAGGAAACAUUGCUAGGAAGCAAUGAUCCAUAUUUUGAUACUGCCAGUAACCAGCUGUUACUAAGCUUCCAGAUAAUCAGGUCUCGCUCUCCUUGCAUGUAGAAAGAAGUGUGAAUGGCUAUGGAUUUUAGCACCCUUGCUGCUCACGCUGUCCAGCAUCCAAGAGAGAUCACAGGCAGAAGAUGCCCUUACUGGACAAACUCACUCCUGCAAUAAUGAGAAGACAAGAAAGUUCCAUGCCAGUGGCUGGAUGUCACACAAGUUUCAGCAACCCACUUAUCAUUUUGUUCAGUUUGUGGGACAAAUGUCAUCGGUUGUGACAGGAUCUUGGGCUUCACAAGCAUUGCUGACAGCCAAAACACUCCCAGCUCCCUUCACAGGAUGUGGCCGUGAUAGUGGCUUUAUAAUGAUGGGGUUCAAGAACAACUAAAUGUAACUGAAAUAAAUGGAAAUUUACAAUUUU